GGGCUUCUUUAAGGUCCGCAUGGGAGAGCGUUCGGUUCGCAUCCGAGAGGUCAAGGGUUCGAAUCCCUCUAGGUCCACCA
rnacentral:tRNA from 1 species